GUUUGAGAUGCAUAAGAGUGUGAUUAGCUAACAAGACAAAUACCGAAUGUCGAAAAGUAAUGAGCAAACAUCUAAGUAAGGUUAGGGCAGCUUCUUGAUCUAGCUGAUCACUGUCUAAGCAAGAUUAGCAUUUAAAUCCUAUGAGUUUCUGAGGCAUACAAAUAUCUAUUAUUACAAAGACAAAAUUUUAUGUUAUCAACCAUCGGUUUUGUUUUUUGGGAUUUUGUCAAGGUGGAAGAAGCUAUUGUUUUCCUACUGAUUGUCAUUAAGAGAUCAUCAAUGGUGGUCGGCACCGAGCAGAUGAUAUAGAUGGAUAAUUACAUAUUUAUUUGCUAUUUGGAAAAAAUAAAUGCUUCACUAAGACGUUUGGUGGAAAUUAUCUAAGGCUAAAAAUGGGUCGGAUGAACUCAUGACCCGAGCCAACCCGACCCA
rnacentral:lncRNA from 1 species